UAGGGAAUCUUCCACAAUGGGCGAAAGCCUGAUGGAGCAACGCCGCGUGCAGGAUGAAGGCCUUCGGGUUGUAAACUGCUUUUGUCUAUGAAGAAUAUGACGGUAAUAGACGAAUAAGGGUCUGCUAACUACGUGCCAGCAGCCGCGGUCAUACGUGGGACCCAAGCGUUAUCCGGAAUUACUGGGCGUAAAGAGUUGCGUAGGUGGCAAUGUAAGUAGAUAGUGAAAUCGUGUGGCUCAACCACAUAUCCAUUAUCUAAACUGCAUAGCUUGAGAAUGGGAGAGGUAGAUGGAAUUUCUAGUGUAGGAGUGAAAUCCGUAGAUAUUAGAAGGAACACCGAUGGCGUAAGCAGUCUACUGGCCCAUUUCUGACACUAAGGCACGAAAGCGUGGGGAGCGAACGGG
rnacentral:rRNA from 1 species